rnacentral:rRNA from 1 species
GACGAACGCUGGCGGCGUGCCUAAUACAUGCAAGUCGAACGCAGUGGGGACGGGUGAGUAACACGUGGGUAACCUCCCAUCAGAGGGGAUAACACUUGGAAACAGGUGCUCAACCGAUACUGAAGGCUGGACCCGGUGUGCAUUAGCUAGUUGGUGGGUUAACGGCUCACCAAGGCCACGAUGCAUAGCCGAUCUGAGAGGGUGAGCGGCCACUCUGGGACUGAGACACGGCCCAGACUCCUACGUGAGGCAGCAGUAGGGGAUCUGCGGCAAGGGACGAAAGUCUGACCGAGCAACGCCGCGUGAGUGAAGAAGGUUUUCGGAUCGUAAAACUCUGUUGUUAGUGAAGCGGUAUCUAACCAGAAAGCCACGGCUAACUACGUGCCAGCAGCCGCGGUAAUAC